rnacentral:rRNA from 1 species
UACGUAGGGGGCUAGCGUUGUCCGGAUUUAUUGGGCGUAAAGAGCGUGUAGGCGGCCAGGUAGGUCUGCUGUGAAAACUCGAGGCUCAACCUCGAGACGUCGGCGGAAACCAUCUGGCUAGAGUCCGGAAGAGGAGAGUGGAAUUCCUGGUGUAGCGGUGAAAUGCGCAGAUAUCAGGAAGAACACCCGUGGCGAAGGCGGCUAUCUGGGACGGUACUGACGCUGAGACGCGAAAGCGUGGGGAGCGAACAGG